CUGUAAGAACAGGAAGUCCAGAUGCUUCUGAGAGGACCCCAGCUCCUAAUUCUCAUUUGUAGACGGCUCAGAUCAAGACAAUCUCUUCAUGAAACAACUCAACACCUACUAAGGACUCAGAGAGCUUUCCCAAGGACCUUUUUUGUACCAAGACAGAAGGACCAAAACCAUCAGCUUUAAAGAAAACUGUGCCCUUCCCAACACUUGGCUUUGGAAAAAAGACAUGAAUGAUAUAAAUUCUCCGACUUCCAGGAACCAUAACUAGCAGGGAAGUCCAGAUGCAUCUGAGAGGCUCCCAUCUCCUGAUUACCAUAUUUGGAAGGCUCCAAUCAAUACUAUCUUUUCAGCAAACCUUCUCAACCACUACCCAGAAAUGACUGAGAUUUCCCAUGGACCACAUAUUUCUUUUUUUUUAUAACAAAGCAGAAGGCCAGCUUCCUUCUUCCCAUCUCUGAUCACUUCAUCCUCUUUUUUCUCCUUCCCAAAGGCUGUUUAUGCUGAAUUAGAGGCCAAAUAGUAAACCCUAGAUGUACUGAAGGACUACUGGAGAGGCAACUUCUGUCAGGACAACACUUGUUACAUCACAGAAGAAAAUAGGGAUCUCCAGGAUACAACAGAUUUUUUUAGAUAGGCCUAAUGGUGAUGUCACUGAGAAUUGCCAUGGCCUACCUGCUAAAGUGUUUUCCUUUCAAUGACCAGAUUCGAGGGUGCCCUUGCAAGGGCCAGACGUGAAGGUUUUCGAGGUUUUACCAUGGUUGUUACUUCAGGACAAACAUAAAAUUCAGGAGGAUGUGCAGGGAGAUGAAUGGCUUGAUGUCCAGGGAAACUUCAACUUCAAUAGGUUCAUAAGAACAAGAGGGAGGUGUUUGGAAUUGCCAUUUGUGGAUUCUACAUUCUUGACCUAGGUGUACAUAAUCCAUGUGAAAAUUCCACCUAACCUCAUAGCUGUAGGAGCCACCAAAUGUAUAGUUGGAACGAGAUGUACAUCUUUCCUGAGAGACACAGCUUGAGCAAGUCAAAUACAGAAGAGAAUGCUACUGGCAAACCAGUGAACCAAAAAUGGAUCUCUUGUUGGUAGUUUUUGAGAAAGAAUUACAAGAGCUUAAGGGGAUUUCAAAUCCAUAAGAACAACAAUGCCAGUGAACCAGAGCUUUCUGGUACUAAACCAAUAUUCAAAGACUGUACUUGGACAGACCUAUGUGUCCAACUGCAUAUGUAGCAGUGGAUGGCCUUGUUGGGAACCAAUGGAAGGAGAAGUUCCUGGUCCAACCUAGGUUUAACUCUCAGUUCAAGGUAAUAUCAAGGUUCACUAAGGUAGGUUAUAGAAGAAUGUUAGGGGGACUAGUUACGGGUCUUAUGUACAUGAAACUGGGAAAGAAAAUCAAAUUUGAAAUUCAAAUAUAGAAAUAUCCAAAUAAAAAAGCAAUAAAAUUUGCUAAAAAUUUAAAAAAAAUGAAAUAAAUUAAAGAAAAGACAUCUGUCAGCUAAUUACACAUAUUGACUCAGAAAUCUAAAGGGUAACUAUCAGCAAAUGGUAAUCAGAGUAAUACUAGUGGAAAGACUGAGAUGAUGAAGUCUCAACUAGAAGCUCUUCUCUCCCAAAUAUCAGUGUCAGACACAAACUGCACUAUAGGUAUCCAAAGCAUGGAGGCGUUUACACUGAGCUGAGGAGACAAUACUUUUCUAUCCUUUGUUUCUUCGGACCUUUUUCUUCAGGGCAAAAAGAGUGAAAGCCAUGAGCUCUCACUAGAACAACUGUGCCCUUCCCAACAACUGACUUUUGGAAUGAAGAAAAUGAUUAUAUAAACUCUCUGAAUUCCAGAAACCAUAUCAAGCAGGGAAGUCCAGAUGAUAAUGAGAGAAUCCCAGCUCUGUAUUCCCAUGUGUGUAAGGCUCAGAUCAAGGCUAUCUCUUCAGAUACAACACUCAACGCCUACCCAAGACUCACUGAGCUUUUCCAUGGACCAUUUAUUUCUUCCUUUUUUUAUACAAAGACAGAAGGCCAGCUUCCUUCUCUUUUAUCUCCCUAACAAAUGGCUGUUUAGCCAGAAUAAGAGGUCAAUGAGUUAACCCUAGAGGUCCUCAAAGAAUAUCCAAGAGGCAGUUGCUGUCACCAUGACACUUGUGACAUCACAGAAAAGCUAGAGCUCUUCAGGAUACAAGAGAUAUUUCAGGGAGGACCUAAUGAUGAUGUCACUGAGAACUGCCAUGAUCUAACUGUUGAACAGCUUUCUUUACAUUGACCAGAUUUGAGGGUUCCCUUUCCAAGAGUGUCUCUUGUGACACACUGGAAACCUUUAAAUACUAUAUAUCUCUAAUGCUGGAGACUUCUCUUUGCUUCAUUCGUACGUACAUGUUCGGAAUAGAGAAUGUUGGUCAGGGGCUUGGCAUGGGUAUAAAGAUCUAGGAACAUGGGGUGGAGGAGAUUAUUCUGGAUAAUAAUUCCACUCCCAGUUCCAUUCCUGUGACAUACACUUCAAGUUCCUAGGUUUUCUCUGUUUCCCAAAGUCCAAUAUUUUCCUUCCAGACAUUUAGAUGAAUGAAUAUUGUAUUACAUUUUCUUAUUGUACAUUCUUUGAAAGGAGACUUUAUAUAUAUUACUGAAUGUGUACUCAAAUAUUCUGUUUUCCAAUUUUAAUUUUUGCAAUGAUAUUGGCAACAAAGUUGGCCCAGCUAAAGCAUGAAUAUAACAGUAAAAAUAUUGUAUACCUACUUCAAAUGAUAAUCUCUCAAAUCCUUAAUUUAAGCAAAAAUUACCAGCCAUCAGUAAAGCAAAGGACAAUAUGGACCCUAGAAUGAGGUUCAGAUUUUCUUUUAGGCUUGAAAAAUUUUGCGAAGAAGGUUUUGUGGGUGUAUUUGUGUCUUUAUCCCUCCAUUGCUGGUCUUUCCAGGCAAUGGGAGUUGGCCUCUUAAUGUUUCAUAUCACCAAUGUAAUUCACAGCUUAGGUCACCCCAUUGAUUCGUGGGUACCUCCAUUAUACCAGGUCUCUUUCUCUUCCUGGAGGUUUCUCCCACCUCCUCAUCUCUUUAAGUUCAAGAUUUCCUUUCUUUCUCAUGACUAUCGGGUCCUAUCUCCUUCCCUGCACACACAGGAUCCAUUCUCCUCUUCCUUCCAUCUCUCAUCUAGUUCCUUUCCUCAAUCGGCCUCCUAGACUAUUUUAUUCCCCAUUCUAAGUGAGAGUCAAUCUUAUGCACUUUGGCCAUUCUUCUUGUUUAUCUUCUUUGUACCUUUAAGCUUUGUGGAGGAUGUCCUGUAGUUUAUGGAUAAUAUUACUUAUAAUUGAGCAAUUUCAACAACCCUCUUAAUCAUAUUUUAGAGUAGUAUGUUAAAAUUGAAAAUUAUAAUUUAGUAUGAGUGAAUGUCAUGAGGACCAAAUUUAGGUAAAAAGAAACUUAAAACAAGAUCAAAUCACAGAUUUUAAAAAUUGACCUAAUAAUAAAAAUUCUCUACUAUCAUAAGGAAUUAUUAUAUCACAGGCAAUUUUUAAGUGGUACCAUAAAUUUGGCAGACAAAUGAUGUUUUUAACAAGUAAUUAUGGAUAAUAUGACUAAGAUCAAAUAAGAUAAAUAUAUUGUUUUCAUUCUGAUAUCACUUCCUGGCAUUUUUCCUCAAACAUGAUGUUUAUAGCAUUGAACAUUAUGGUAUUAGUUUUAAAUUUUAAUAUUUAUUAUAACCUAACUUAUAAAGUAACAGGUUGCCAUAUGUUAUGUUUGUAGACAAUCACCCUCAUCCUCGCUUCCUCAGUUCUUUGUUUCCGCCUGCCCUAUGUCCCUCACCACUUAUACUAGUCUCUCUUCAUUAUUCUUACUUCUAGAUUCAUAUCCCACAUGCUCAAUAUCUUCCAUUCCACACUGUUUAAAACCCUACUCUCUAAUCUCUCUAAUCUCUGUGACGUAUACCAGUUAAGUGAACUCAAACCACCCACAGCUUCACAUAAAUACAAGUAUAUUAAAAGGAGAUUCUUUGAUCUCUUUGAAAAAGAACACAUGGUAUUUGCCUUUCUAAGUCUUUGUUACCUUACUCGGUUUAGUUUUCCUAGGGAGAAUGAAGUACCAUUGUGUAUAUUGUCACAUUCUUAUAUAUCUAUGUAUCAAUGAAUAUUCAUUAUGAUUCUCAAUAAAAGAGCAAUAGAUUUAUUUUUGAAAAACGAUGAGAAAGCUCAGAUAGAAAAGUCAAGAAACUAAGAAACUAAGAAACUAAGAAAAUUUCAAAGAUAAAUAUGACGAACAUAUUUGUGUUUAUAUUAACUGGAGCAGUGUGUGUUAAAGUUAAUAAAGGAUGUGGUAUUUAUAAUAUUUUUAUACUAAUAAAAUGUAGAAUAUUCAAUAAUUUAGAGAAUACUUAUAAAAUUGUUCAUCACUAAGUUAUAU